UGAACGCUGGCGGUAGGCUAACACAUGCAAGUCGAACGGCAGCACAGUAAGAGCUUGCUCUUAUGGGUGGCGAGUGGCGGACGGGUGAGGAAUACAUCGGAAUCUACUCUGUCGUGGGGGAUAACGUAGGGAAACUUACGCUAAUACCGCAUACGACCUACGGGUGAAAGCAGGGGAUCUUCGGACCUUGCGCGAUUGAAUGAGCCGAUGUCGGAUUAGCUAGUUGGCGGGGUAAAGGCCCACCAAGGCGACGAUCCGUAGCUGGUCUGAGAGGAUGAUCAGCCACACUGGAACUGAGACACGGUCCAGACUCCUACGGGAGGCAGCAGUGGGGAAUAUUGGACAAUGGGCGCAAGCCUGAUCCAGCCAUACCGCGUGGGUGAAGAAGGCCUUCGGGUUGUAAAGCCCUUUUGUUGGGAAAGAAAUCCAGCCGGCUAAUACCUGGUUGGGAUGACGGUACCCAAAGAAUAAGCACCGGCUAACUUCGUGCCAGCAGCCGCGGUAAUACGAAGGGUGCAAGCGUUACUCGGAAUUACUGGGCGUAAAGCGUGCGUAGGUGGUCGUUUAAGUCCGUUGUGAAAGCCCUGGGCUCAANCUGGGAACUGCAGUGGAUACUGGACGACUAGAGUGUGGUAGAGGGUAGCGGAAUUCCUGGUGUAGCAGUGAAAUGCGUAGAGAUCAGGAGGAACAUCCAUG
rnacentral:rRNA from 1 species